rnacentral:tRNA from 1 species
GCGGUUGUGGCGGAACUGGCAGACGCGUACGUUUGAGGGGCGUAUGGUGAUACCGUAUGGGUUCAAGUCCCAUCAACCGCACCA